rnacentral:rRNA from 1 species
UCGAGAAUCUUCGGCAAUGAGCGCAAGCUUGACCGAGCGACGCCGCGUGCGGGAUGAAGGCCCUCGGGUUGUAAACCGCGAAAGUAGGGAGGAAAUCGCUGGGGGUUCUCCCCCAGUGUUGACCUAUCUUCAGUAAGGACGGGCUAAGUUCGUGCCAGCAGCCGCGGUAAUACGAACCGUCCAAACGUUAUUCGGAUUUAUUGGGCUUAAAGGGUAUGUAGGCGGCCCUGCAAGUCGGGUGUGAAAGCCCUCGGCUCAACCGAGGAACUGCGCCCGAUACUGCAGGGCUUGAGGGAGACAGAGGUAAGCGGAACUGAUAGUGGAGCGGUGAAAUGCGUUGAUAUCAUCAGGAACACCAGUGGCGAAAGCGGCUUACUGGGUCUCUUCUGACGCUGAGAUACGAAAGCUAGGGGAGCGAACGGGAUUAGAUACCCCGGUAGUCCUAGCUGUAAACGAUGAGCACUUGAUCGAGGGGCCCCCCA